rnacentral:snRNA from 14 species
UCUAGUAUAGUUCUUCUUGCUGGGCCUUCUUUAAGACCCUAAGAUAAAUUUUGGACGCCUGUCUCUAAGGAGGCAGGUG